GCUCACUCUCACAACUGACCAAAAAAAUCAAUUCUUGUUUUGUGGGUUUUGUUGAUUUUCCAUUGAAAAAUGGGAAGGAUAUUUGUUGUAGAUCUUGAAGGCAGGAUUUACAAGUGCAAAUUCUGCCAAACCCACCUUGCUCUUGCUGAUGACCUUGUUUCUAGGGGAUUUCAUUGCCGCAGAGGAAAAGCCUACUUGUUCAAUAAAGUGGUGAACGUAACUGUUGGACCUCAGGAGGAGAGAGCGAUGCUUUCUGGGAUGCACACAGUAGCAGAUAUAUUUUGUUGCUGUUGCGGGCAAAUUGUUGGCUGGAAAUAUGAGGCUGCACACGAGGAAAGCCAGAAGUAUAAAGAAAAGAAGUUUGUUCUCGAAAGGGGUAGGAUCAUUGACGGAGUUGACACUGAAUUCUACAUCGAUUCUCGUCCAACUAUUAGUGAUACUGAGGAUGCAUAGGCCUUGUUAUGUGAUGUAUCUAUCUAAACAUGUGUGGUUGUUGUAUCUUGUAAGUCUAGUUUGUAGAUAUAGGGAAGAAGCUGUUUGUAUCAAAAUAUUGUGUGGUUGUAGCUUGUAAGUCCAGUUUGCUAGACGCUAGUAUAUAAAGAAGGUUAUACAUAAGUUUUUGGUCUACAAUACAUGGUUUUUCAUGAUGUAUGAAAAAAUAGAAUAUAAGAGCUAGUAU
rnacentral:misc_RNA from 1 species